GCUGAAUAUGGCACAACUGGUGAGACACUUUCCCUUAUGUUUCAUGAUCUGAGGCACAGGUUUGGGCCCUUGGGUAGCCAGGCAUCUGGAGCAGAGGGACCUCUCUAAAGAAGUUUCCCCAGUUGCUUCAGGACAUGAAUGGUCAUGAAUACUUCUGCAUGAAUACUUCCACAGGUAUUCCCUGUGCACAUGAUAAUCAAAGACCUCUGCCAUUGGUUGCCCCAGCCAAAAAGUUCAUCAUCUGGAAGCCUUCAGGUAAUGAAUCUCUUACCACUUAACCAGGGUGGUCCUCCAUCAUCAAGCAGUGCAUGGUCAGGUUAGUAAAAGUUGGGUAUUGAUAUACUAUAAUUAUAU
rnacentral:lncRNA from 1 species